rnacentral:rRNA from 1 species
GACGAACGCUGGCGGCGUGCCUAACACAUGCAAGUCGAACGAAGUGGCGAACGGGUGAGUAACGCGUAAUCCACCUGCCCUUCAGAGGGGGACCACAUUUGGAAACGACUGCUUAUACCGCAUACUGAAGGAGGUGAUUGCGUUUGAUUAGAUAGUUGGGGCGGUAAAGGGCCACCAAGGCGAUGAUCAGUAGCCGGUCUGAGAGGGUGAACGGCCACAUUGGGACUGAGACACGGCCCAGACUCCUACGGGAGGCAGCAGGGGGGAAUCUUCCGCAAUGGACGAAAGUCUGACGGAGCAACGCCGCGUGAGUGAUGACGGCCUUCGGGUUGUAAAGCUCUGUUAAUCGGGACGCGGUACCGGAAUAGAAAGCCACGGCUAACUACGUGCCAGCAGCCGCGGUAAUAC